GACGAACGCUGGCGGCGUGCCUAAUACAUGCAAGUAGAACGCUGAAGAGAGGAGCUUCCUCUUCUUGGAUGAGUUGCGAACGGGUGAGUAACGCGUAGGUAACCUGCCUUGUAGCGGGGGAUAACUAUUGGAAACGAUAGCUAAUACCGCAUAACAAUGGAUGACACAUGUCAUUUAUUUGAAAGGGGCAAUUGCUCCACUACAAGAUGGACCUGCGUUGUAUUAGCUAGUAGGUGAGGUAAUGGCUCACCUAGGCGACGAUACAUAGCCGACCUGAGAGGGUGAUCGGCCACACUGGGACUGAGACACGGCCCAGACUCCUACGGGAGGCAGCAGUAGGGAAUCUUCGGCAAUGGGGGCAACCCCGACCGAGCAACGCCGCGUGAGUGAAGAAGGUUUUCGGAUCGUAAAGCUCUGUUGUAAGUCAAGAACGGGUGUGAGAGUGGAAAGUUCACACUGUGACGGUAGCUGACCAGAAAGGGACGGCUAACUACGUG
rnacentral:rRNA from 1 species